rnacentral:lncRNA from 1 species
GAAGUCAUCAAAGACAGCCCAACUCACAGCCCAUGAGGGACCCUGAGUACUGCCUCUGACCUCUCUAUGGCAAGCCAAAUGGCCAUGGGAAGACCCCAUGGAGUGUCAGAAUGAUGCCGUUGAGGGCAAGGAUUUUAGACCGGUCAUGGAUUCUGCCUGUGCACUGGGCUCUACCACUUUCUAGCUAUCUGGCUACUAGCAAGUUACCUUAACAAUCUAAGUUUCAACCUCCCCAUUCGUGAAAUGGAGAUGAUGUCUUAGUCAUAGAAGUAGCAAGUCUACUGCAUAUCAACAGUGUAGCACUGAGCCUGGCUCUUUGUAAGUGUUCAGGCUGGAGCGCAGUGGGAUGAUCUCUGCUCACUGCAGCCUCUGCCUUCUGGGUUCAAGUGAUUCUCCUGCCUCAGCCGCAUAAGGAAACAGGCCGAGAGACGCAAGUCAAACAGCAAAGGAUGGUCUGCUGUCUGUCUGACUCCAAUGCCAAUGGUCUUUCCUCUAUAACCUAAAGCAAUAAAACCCCUGCAACAUCUA